rnacentral:rRNA from 1 species
UGGGGAAUCUUGGACAAUGGGCGCAAGCCUGAUCCAGCCAUGCCGCGUGAGUGAAGAAGGCCUUCGGGUUGUAAAGCACUUUUAUCAGGAACGAAAAGCGGAGGGUUAAUACCCAUCCGUGCUGACGGUACCUGAGGAAUAAGCACCGGCUAACUUCGUGCCAGCAGCCGCGGUAAUACGUAGGGUGCAAGCGUUAAUCGGAAUUACUGGGCGUAAAGCGUGCGCAGGCGGUUUUGUAAGUCUGAUGUGAAAUCCCCGGGCUCAACCUGGGAAUUGCAUUGGAGACUGCAAGGCUAGAAUCUGGCAGAGGGGGGUAGAAUUCCACGUGUAGCAGUGAAAUGCGUAGAUAUGUGGAGGAACACCGAUGGCGAAGGCAGCCCCCUGGGUCAAGAUUGACGCUCAUGCACGAAAGCGUGGGGAGCAAACAGGAUUAGAUACCCCAGUAGUCCCUGAGCGGGCUGGCAAGGCGCAU